UAUAUUUGCCCCCUAUUUUAGUUAAUAGAAUAUCAUACAUAAUAAUCAUUUAAAUAAUAUUGGAAUG
ncrna:unclassified sequences S15-Flavobacteria ribosomal protein leader